rnacentral:misc_RNA from 1 species
AAUGGAUCACAAAAUCAACACAAAUUGUAGGUCAAGGCAGAGGUACAAAUCCUUUGAAAUGAUAUAUAUUUAUACAGACAGAUGAUGGGCACUUAGGCACCCUUACCAUUAUUCCAUGGCUUAAGGACUCCCACUACUAUGACCACAACAAUGAUUAGAAGGAUUAUGAUGGCAAUGCACAUCCAUUUCCUAGAAUUCUUUUGCAGCUUCUUUGCCUUUUGAAGAGCAGUAUUCCCUUGUUGCACAUGAUCUACUGCACUUGUAACAUGUGAUUCAAUAUUGUCGAGCAUAUCCCCUUGCGCAUCCACCAAUACUGCCAUGUCGAGAAAUACCUGCUGUAGCUCGAGUAACUUCCUCUCCAGUUCUCUAACUGCACUGUGACGCUCUUGAAUUUCAGCUAGAGUGUCCAUUACCUGUCCUCGCCCUUGUUCUUGAAUUGCCUUCUGAAAAAUUUGUUCACUGUCCCCAGUUUCAAUUAAUUUCUCGAUGGUCUCUUCGUCAGCCCUAGCGCCCGUGACUGUGAAAACCCGUCUCUCAACAACCUCCUGGUACUCUUGAUGGAUUUUUUCCCGUAAAAUCUGGAAUUCAGUCAUCUUGUCUUUUAACUUCUUUUUUAAGGAAAGAGUAGUUGCUGUUCUUGAUCUAUCUACACCUGAUCCUUUUCCACACCCGGGCCUCUGCCUAUUUGCCAGAUUCUCUCUGUCAAGUUCUUCGACUUUGAUCUUCACAAAACGUGCAACUUUUCCAACUUCAUCGACAUCUUUUUCCAUCCGCUGCUUGAUUGCUGGAG